AUUGAACGCUGGCGGCAGGCCUAACACAUGCAAGUCGAGCGGAUGAAGGGAGCUUGCUCCUGGAUUCAGCGGCGGACGGGUGAGUAAUGCCUAGGAAUCUGCCUGGUAGUGGGGGAUAACGUCCGGAAACGGGCGCUAAUACCGCAUACGUCCUGAGGGAGAAAGUGGGGGAUCUUCGGACCUCACGCUAUCAGAUGAGCCUAGGUCGGAUUAGCUAGUUGGUGGGGUAAAGGCCUACCAAGGCGACGAUCCGUAACUGGUCUGAGAGGAUGAUCAGUCACACUGGAACUGAGACACGGUCCAGACUCCUACGGGAGGAAGCAGUGGGGAAUAUUCGACAAUGGGCGAAAGCCUGAUCCAGCCAUGCCGCGUGUGUGAAGAAGGUCUUCGGAUUGUAAAGCACUUUAAGUUGGGAGGAAGGGCAGUAAGUUAAUACCUUGCUGUUUUGACGUUACCAACAGAAUAAGCACCGGCUAACUUCGUG
rnacentral:rRNA from 1 species